rnacentral:rRNA from 1 species
UGUGUAGGCGGUUCGCUAAGUUUGGUGUGAAAUCUCCCGGCUUAACUGGGAGGGUGCGCCGAAUACUGGUGGGCUAGAGUGUGGGAGAGGGAAGCGGAAUUCCUGGUGUAGCGGUGAAAUGCGUAGAUAUCAGGAGGAACACCGGUGGUGUAGACGGCUUCCUGGACCGCAACUGACGCUGAGACACGAAAGCGUGGGGAGCAAACA